CGGGAAAUAGUGAAGUGGAAUAACUUCUGUUUUGGGAACAGACGUCGUCGGUUCGAUUCCGGCUCUCCCGACCA
rnacentral:tRNA from 1 species